rnacentral:rRNA from 1 species
UACAGAGGUCUCAAGCGUUGUUCGGAUUCAUUGGGCGUAAAGGGUGCGUAGGUGGCGCGCUAAGUCGGGUGUGAAAUUUCGGAGCUUAACUCCGAAACUGCAUUCGAUACUGGCGUGCUUGAGGAACUGGAGAGGAGACUGGAAUUCAUGGUGUAGCAGUGAAAUGCGUAGAGAUCAUGAGGAAGACCAGUGGCGAAGGCGGGUCUCUGGACAGUUCCUGACACUGAGACGAAGGCCAGGGGAGCAAACGGG